GUACCCUCAAGCUUUGCUUGGUGUUGGGUGUUUGUCCUGUAUGGGACUCGCCUUAAAGUAAUUGGCAGCCGGCGUAUUGGCCUUGGAGCGCAGCACAAUUUGCGCUUUCAGUCAGUAUAUGUUGGCGUCCAUAAGACCUUUUAUCAC
rnacentral:misc_RNA from 1 species